rnacentral:rRNA from 1 species
CCUACGGGGGGCAGCAGUGGGGAAUUUUGGACAAUGGGGGCAACCCUGAUCCAGCCAUUCCGCGUGAGUGAAGAAGGCCUUCGGGUUGUAAAGCUCUUUCGGCCGGGAAGAAAUCGCAUCUCCUAAUACGGGGUGUGGAUGACGGUACCGGAAGAAGAAGCACCGGCUAACUACGUGCCAGCAGCCGCGGUAAUACGUAGGGUGCGAGCGUUAAUCGGAAUUACUGGGCGUAAAGCGUGCGCAGGCGGCUGGAAUCCCCGGGCUUAACUUGGGAACUGCGUUUGUGACUGGUGGGCUUGAGUGCGGCAGAGGGGGGUGGAAUUCCACGUGUAGCAGUGAAAUGCGUAGAGAUGUGGAGGAACACCGAUGGCGAAGGCAGCCCCCUGGGUCGACACUGACGCUCAUGCGCGAAAGCGUGGGGAGCAAACAGGAUUAGAUACCCCGGUAGUC